rnacentral:lncRNA from 1 species
AAAAAAGUAAAAUAAGGAUUUAAAACACAAAGUGACGUAGUUAAACAACAAAAGAGUAAAUAUAACAAACGCCAAAUCGACAAAACAACACGAACUCGACAAUGGCACGUAGCCCAAUAACAUAAUUUCAAUAAUAGAUGAAUUAUUGAUAAAUAGAUUUUUAUUCUAUUAAAACACUAAACCUUGUGUCAUCCGCGAGGAAACGAAACGCUUGGCCUGUUUAACACAACGUUAUAACCAUAAAAUGGGUCGUGUGACGUCACCCUCGUAACACGCGUCUUUCUAGGAACAAAAUUCGGACCUUAAAACCUAGCGCGACAUCUGCCGACGCCCGGUGGAAAUGUAAAUCACCGGAUAAUCGGUAGAAUUGGUAGUGUAUGCAAAAGCGGAAGUUUAAAGUUCAUUUCCUGGUUUGGCAACGGUUAAAGUUUAGAAAUUCAGAAUGAAAUAUUGUCAAAACACUUAGUGGAGACGGUAAACACGGGUUUAAAAAUAUUUGAAGGUUUUUCGGAUAUUUUCCAUCUUUUUUUUUUUUUCCUCGACUAUCCCGUGUUGUUCGAGUUUGCGCGCUAUUAAAGUAGAAAUUUUUUUUCUCGUAUUGAGUAUCUGUUUUGUAUGUAAUCUCUGCUGAUACGACUAGUUUGACAGUUAAUGAACUAAGUUGCGAGUCGGAGAAAAUGGAAGAUGACAACGUGCCGUCGUCGAGUUAUUGUUUCCACUUCGGAUAGAACUUUGCACACUAAACUGACAAACAUUAUCAUCGUCUCCUGUGUUUUUUUCGCGCGCUCUUGUGUUUCGUGUUUUUUUUAACCAUACCGUAUGUUUUUCCGAUCUGUCGUUAAUACCAUUCCUUUCUCUCUAGUGUUAAUCGGGUGUAUGGCAAAAUUAAAAAAAAAAUUUUUUUGGGGACAGAAAAACAGAAUUUUUGGCUUUGCAAUGUCUUGGAGUAAUAUUCAGCCACGAUACAGAGCAGCCCGUUAUUAUUAAGUAACCCCUACUGUGUACAAAGUCCCAUCCUUUCGAGACUAAUUGCUUCCCCUUUCUUGCCCUUCAGAUGCCAUUUAAGGAGCCUUAUACCGGGUAACUUAAGACGUACAAAGCCAAUUUUGGUAUAUUGAGCAUGGAUGCCCUCGGGAUACUAGCAUCCAGAAAGCAUUACACGAUGAUGUUAAAUUCAAAUGUGCCAGACUUACGUGCGUAAAGUAAGAGCAUUUGGAAAAUGAUGUGUAGAAGCGCGUAGGAAGAGAUAGGAGAGUAUUGUCUCAAUAGUAAACAGCGUAAAAUAAAGAUUUAUUGUCGACAAAUAAGAAAGAAGAGCGCGUGGCAUGACUAACCUGGGGCUAGCGACAGAGUCGACCUCGAGCGGCCAACAGACGAACUACUUUAGCGAACUAAUUUACACGUCUAUCUGUCGCGUCCCCGACCUCGUCCUCAGUCAGAAUACACUAUCCGUCAUUCACCGCACCGGCGAUACAAGUUAUCCGUAAAGCGGUUACGGUGCAACAGCAGUGCCACCGGUGGCCCGGGGCGAGUCAGGCGAAGCGUGGCGCCACAAGCGGCGAACGACCGCUGGGGGAAGGUGAUGGAUGGUGGCUAGACAUUUCAUUGGCUUGCCGUUGGGGGGCGCCACCGUGCCAGCUGCCUCCGCUGCUGCCAGUCUCUUCAGACGUACGGUGGUGUGUGGUGUGUGUGUGUGUGCUGUGUUGUGUGAGAGUGUGCGUCGUCUCUCCCAACAUCCGUGCAUCCGAGGGGAUGGAACGGCUAUUGAGCUUUACUUUCGGUUUGGUGUGAAGAGUUAGGACGUUUGCUUCUAUUGCGGCAUCAGAAGUGUCGCACGGGUGGAGAAAGUCCUACUAAACAGACAGGGGCGAUGUAUCAACCCCUCCAGAAGAACCUUCCGCCUCAGAGGUAAAUUCUUAAAAAUUUUUUUUUUUAAGAUGUAAUUUUAGCUAUCGUGCCAAUUAAGCUGUUAUACGUAAUAAUAAAAUAUGCAUUUAUUUUUAGUUAAGAUGUUCUAAGAAUGCAUUAGAUCAAACAAUCGCUGAGAG